UCCUACGGGAGGCAGCAGUAGGGAAUCUUCCGCAAUGGACGAAAGUCUGACGGAGCAGCGCCGCGUGAGCGAAGAAGGCCUUCGGGUCGUAAAGCUCUGUUGUAAGGGAAGAACAAGUGCCAUUUAACUGAUGGCACCUUGACGGUACCUUACGAGAAAGCCACGGCUAACUACGUGCCAGCAGCCGCGGUAAUACGUAGGUGGCAAGCGUUGUCCGGAUUUAUUGGGCGUAAAGCGCGCGCAGGCGGUCCUUUAAGUCUGAUGUGAAAGCCCACGGCUCAACCGUGGAGGGUCAUUGGAAACUGGGAAGCUUGAGUGCAGAAGAGGAGAGUGGAAUUCCAUGUGUAGCGGUGAAAUGCGUAGAGAUAUGGAGGAACACCAGUGGCGAAGGCGACUCUCUGGUCUGCAACUGACGCUGAGGCGCGAAAGCGUGGGGAGCGAACAGGAUUAGAUACCCUGGUAGUCCACGCUGUAAACGAUGAGUGCUAGGUGUCGGGGGGUCCAACCCUCGGUGCUGUCGCUAACGUAAUAAGCACUCCGCCUGGGGAGUACGGUCGCAAGACUGAAACUCAAAGGAAUUGACGGA
rnacentral:rRNA from 1 species